rnacentral:lncRNA from 1 species
UUUUGUAAGAUGGGAAGGAAAAAUUUACAUGACUUUAUUCGAGCGUAGGAAAAAAAGAAAUUGAUUGAAUUGGACGAUAAGGAUAAAUGGGUAAAUCAAUAGUCGGCUCCAAAACAAUGAGCAAAGAGAUGUGGGUGAGGUCUGAAUUUAAACCAAAAUCAGAAAAAAGAUUGAAUGAAAAAAGGUCGACGAAAACAUAAAGAGGUGCAAAAAAAAAAAAAAGAAGAAGAAGAAAACAUAAAGGAAUAAUAUGGUGGACAAAUCGACAGUUGGGGAGAUGGGAGUGGGAUUAAUGAUGAUCAAUGUGAACUC